AUUGAACGCUGGCGGCAGGCCUAACACAUGCAAGUCGAACGGUAACAGGGAGCAGCUUGCUGCUUUGCUGACGAGUGGCGGACGGGUGAGUAAUGUCUGGGAAACUGCCUGAUGGAGGGGGAUAACUACUGGAAACGGUAGCUAAUACCGCAUAACGUCGCAAGACCAAAGAGGGGGACCUUCGGGCCUCUUGCCAUCGGAUGUGCCCAGAUGGGAUUAGCUAGUAGGUGGGGUAACGGCUCACCUAGGCGACGAUCCCUAGCUGGUCUGAGAGGAUGACCAGCCACACUGGAACUGAGACACGGUCCAGACUCCUACGGGAGGCAGCAGUGGGGAAUAUUGCACAAUGGGCGCAAGCCUGAUGCAGCCAUGCCGCGUGUAUGAAGAAGGCCUUCGGGUUGUAAAGUACUUUCAGCGGGGAGGAAGGGAGUAAAGUUAAUACCUUGGCUCAUUGACGUUACCCGCAGAAGAAGCACCGGCUAACUCCGUG
rnacentral:rRNA from 1 species